GACGAACGCUGGCGGCGUGCUUAACACAUGCAAGUCGAGCGGAGCGGCGAACGGGUGAGUAACGCGUGAGUAACUGCCCCCCUCUCUGGGAUAACAGUUGGAAACGGCUGCUAAUACCGGAUAGUUGGGGAUGGCUCGCGGCCUAUCAGAUUGUUGGUGGGGUGAUGGCCUACCAAGGCGGGGACGGGUAGCCGGCCUGAGAGGGUGGUCGGCCACAUUGGGCACGGAGACGGCCCAGACUCCUACGGGAGGCAGCUGUGGGGGAUAUUGCACAAUGGGCGCAAGCCUGAUGCAGCGACGCCGCGUGAGGGAUGAAGGCUUUCGGGUUGUAAACCUCUUUCGGGACAGAACGGGUAUGUGCAGAAGAAGCGCCGGCUAACUACGUGCCAGCAGCCGCGGUAAUUC
rnacentral:rRNA from 1 species